AUUUUAAUGAGAGUUUGAUCCUGGCUCAGGACGAACGCUGGCGGCGUGCCUAAUACAUGCAAGUAGAACGCUGAAGAGAGGAGCUUGCUCUUCUUGGAUGAGUUGCGAACGGGUGAGUAACGCGUAGGUAACCUGCCUUGUAGCGGGGGAUAACUAUUGGAAACGAUAGCUAAUACCGCAUAACAAUGGAUGACACAUGUCAUUUAUUUGAAAGGGGCAAUUGCUCCACUACAAGAUGGACCUGCGUUGUAUUAGCUAGUAGGUGAGGUAACGGCUCACCUAGGCGACGAUACAUAGCCGACCUGAGAGGGUGAUCGGCCACACUGGGACUGAGACACGGCCCAGACUCCUACGGGAGGCAGCAGUAGGGAAUCUUCGGCAAUGGGGGCAACCCUGACCGAGCAACGCCGCGUGAGUGAAGAAGGUUUUCGGAUCGUAAAGCUCUGUUGUAAGUCAAGAACGAGUGUGAGAGUGGAAAGUUCACACUGUGACGGUAGCUUACCAGAAAGGGACGGCUAACUACGUGCCAGCAGCCGCGGUAAUACGUAGGUCCCGAGCGUUGUCCGGAUUUAUUGGGCGUAAAGCGAGCGCAGGCGGUUUGAUAAGUCUGAAGUUAAAGGCUGUGGCUCAACCAUAGUUCGCUUUGGAAACUGUCAAACUUGAGUGCAGAAGGGGAGAGUGGAAUUCCAUGUGUAGCGGUGAAAUGCGUAGAUAUAUGGAGGAACACCGGUGGCGAAAGCGGCUCUCUGGUCUGUAACUGACGCUGAGGCUCGAAAGCGUGGGGAGCGAACAGGAUUAGAUACCCUGGUAGUCCACGCCGUAAACGAUGAGUGCUAGGUGUUGGAUCCUUUCCGGGAUUCAGUGCCGCAGCUAACGCAUUAAGCACUCCGCCUGGGGAGUACGACCGCAAGGUUGAAACUCAAAGGAAUUGACGGGGGCCCGCACAAGCGGUGGAGCAUGUGGUUUAAUUCGAAGCAACGCGAAGAACCUUACCAGGUCUUGACAUCCCGAUGCUAUUUCUAGAGAUAGAAAGUUACUUCGGUACAUCGGUGACAGGUGGUGCAUGGUUGUCGUCAGCUCGUGUCGUGAGAUGUUGGGUUAAGUCCCGCAACGAGCGCAACCCCUAUUGUUAGUUGCCAUCAUUCAGUUGGGCACUCUAGCGAGACUGCCGGUAAUAAACCGGAGGAAGGUGGGGAUGACGUCAAAUCAUCAUGCCCCUUAUGACCUGGGCUACACACGUGCUACAAUGGUUGGUACAACGAGUUGCGAGUCGGUGACGGCAAGCUAAUCUCUUAAAGCCAAUCUCAGUUCGGAUUGUAGGCUGCAACUCGCCUACAUGAAGUCGGAAUCGCUAGUAAUCGCGGAUCAGCACGCCGCGGUGAAUACGUUCCCGGGCCUUGUACACACCGCCCGUCACACCACGAGAGUUUGUAACACCCGAAGUCGGUGAGGUAACCUUUUGGAGCCAGCCGCCUAAGGUGGGAUAGAUGAUUGGGGUGAAGUCGUAACAAGGUAGCCGUAUCGGAAGGUGCGGCUGGAUCACCUCCUUUCU
rnacentral:rRNA from 1 species